rnacentral:rRNA from 1 species
CAUGCAAGUCGAACGAAGGCUUCGGCCUUAGUGGCGCACGGGUGCGUAACGCGUGGGAAUCUACCCUUGGGUGCGGAAUAACUCAAAGAAAUUUGGGCUAAUACCGCAUAAUGACUCCGGUCCAAAGAUUUAUCGCCCGAGGAUGAGCCCGCGUAAGAUUAGCUUGUUGGUGGGGUAAAAGCCUACCAAGGCUACGAUCUUUAGCUGGUCUGAGAGGAUGAUCAGCCACACUGGGACUGAGACACGGCCCAGACUCCUACGGGAGGCAGCAGUGGGGAAUAUUGGACAAUGGGGGAAACCCUGAUCAAGCAAUGCCGCGUGAACGAUGAAGGCCUUAGGGUUGUAAAGUUCUUUUACCAGAGAUGAUAAUGACAGUAUCUGGAGAAUAAGCUCCGGCUAACUCCGUGCCAGCAGCCGCGGUAAUACGGAGGGAGUUAGCGUUGUUCGGAAUUACUGGGCGUAAAGCGCACGUAGGCGGUUUUCUAAGUCAGAGGUGAAAGCCCGGAGCUCAACUCCGGAACUGCCUUUGAAACUGGGAGACUAGAAUCUUGGAGAGGUCAGUGGAAUUCCGAGUAUAGAGGUGAAAUUCCGUAGAUAUUC